rnacentral:rRNA from 1 species
GUUAAAACAUAAGAGGUCCAGCCUGCCCAGUGACAAAGUUCAACGGCCGCGGUACCCUAACCGUGCGAAGGUAGCAUAAUCACUUGUUCUUUAAAUGAGGACUAGUAUCAACGGCAUCACGAGGGUUAAACUGUCUCCUCUCUCCAAUCAGUGAAACUGAUCUUCCCGUGAAGAAGCGGGAAUAGCCAUAUAAGACGAGAAGACCCCAUGGAGCUUUAAACCCAUCUACACUCCUAAUUUUUACUUCUUUAUAGCCCUAGGACACUGUACUAUGGUUUUAGGUUGGGGUGACCGCGGAGCACAACUAAACCUCCACGAUGAACGGAGAAAUCCCCUUAUCUAAGAAUCCCACUUCCAAGAACUAGUAUUCUAACAUUAAAUGAUCCGAUAUUCGAUCAACGAACCAAGUUACCCUGGGGAUAACAGCGCAAUCCACUUCAAGAGCUCCUAUCGACAAGUGGGUUUACGACCUCGAUGUUGGAUCAGGGUAUCCCAGUGGUGCAGCAGCUACUAAAGGUUCGUUUGUUCAACGAUUAAAACCCUACGUGAUCUGAG